rnacentral:lncRNA from 1 species
ACAAAACAUCAAGCCAACAGUUCAGGACUAGUCAUUCAAAUGGACUAAAGGUGGGGGAGAAAAAAUAAGAGUGGAUAAAAGAAAGAAAGAAAACAGAGAAAGGUGGGAAAAAAAAAACAAAGGAAGGAAGAGAGAAAAGAGAAUGAGAGGAAGAGAAGGAAGGGGAAAAACAAGAUUGACUUUACAGUAUGAGAUAUACUAUUAUAUAUUGGACCCUUGGUGGGCAGUGCCUAAACAGAGACAACUACAGGUUUCUGGCUGUGGCCACUCUCUGGUGAAACUAAGGGGUUUCUGUGUGGAGGUGCCUAACAGCCACCGUCCAGUUUGGUAGUAUGAUGCCUCUGGCUUCCCUCUAUCACACGUCUUCUUUUCGAGUAAAGGUUUUUCAUAAAUGUGAGCGUGGAAGAAGAAACCAGAUGGUGUCAGAAGCGGAUCCGAAGUGGAACUUUUAGUGACCCUCAGGAGCACUGAAUGAACAUGCAAGGAACCUGCAGGACCCACUUGUGUCCAUUGAUCUCUGGGAGCAGCUGGGAUAAGCUCCUUUUCGGAUUUCAGAGCUCCAUGGACUUGUGUCUUGAGAUCCCUGAGUUUCUUUGAGCAAAUUUCUGAUCCAAAAUGGGUUUGGCAUCAUGGCAGAAACAGGACUGGGUCCACGAAUGGAUUUGAUCCAGGAAUGAACUGGCUUGGAUCCAGUCAGAGGUCUCUUACAUCUGACUGGGUCAGAAAGGAACUGGUAGUAAGCAGUAAUAUUGCAGAGGUUAUAACAUUUGGCUUUUAAAAAAUAACAGGAAUUUUUGUGUUCUACCUCCUAUGUUAAAUUUUUCUUGUAUACUUAGGUAGAAAAAAGUCAUUGGCUAAGUUAAUCAAGAGAACCUGAGAGUAAAGCCAAUAUUUUAGGUAAAAAUGAGAUCCUUAAUUUCUGGGAAACUGAGUUCAUUCUGGUUUAUACUUUAAGCCUGGGAGGCAGCGAAGUCUUGCGGCAAAAUCUUACAAAAGAUAACUUACAGGGGAACGCUGCAAAUGAACAACAAUGCAUUGAAGUAAAUUUAAAAAUGAUGGUUCUCGGUAAAUUCCCAUUGGCUAAGAAUGGAUUUGGCACUUCGGGAUGUCAACUGCUAUUCUCUUUGGAAUAAUCUGUCUUGCACUCUUUGAUGACGACUAUGGGUGACAGGAUUAGGGAUUUACAGGAUCCUGGGACAUGGGGAGCUUAUUCCUCCCUAAAAGGGGAAACUUGAGAGAUGAGGAGACUGCUGGAAAAGAGCCCUUUGCUACCAAGAAGCAACCACCUGAACUUCUCAGUGUUGCUUCAAUGUGUGGGUCUUUCUCUGGCCUCCCUGAUCAUUUCGCCUUCCCCAACCUCCCACAGACUAUGCUUUCCUCUCUCUCCUUUCCCUUUCUUAUCUUUUCUCUUACUCAGAGGGACCAUCUUGCCCAGAGACCACGUGUUGAAACUCCUACUCAGAGGUUGGAUUAAAGAUGACAGGACCCAUCUGAGGGCAAAUUUAAGCCUUGCCAAUUUGAUAUUGGGUGCUAAGCAGAGUAGCUAAUAUCUAUGUUUUAUCACACGUAUUUUGCUCUGGCCAGACUGAAAAAAGAUAAUUUUUCUUUAUGAUGCAUCUUGGUCCCAGCAGGAUGGUGUGGCAAGCUGAGUCACUAAGGCUGCUCAGGGAAAGGGAACCCAGAAUCUUGGCAUGCCGGCAAAAGGCCCAUGGUUCACUGAGGACAACUCCUUUGCAAUCUAGAACCCAAAGAUUGGAUCUUCUGAGAACAUCAGAGAAAGACUGUCCUUGCCAUCCACACUACAGCAAAGCUUUGGAGCCUUGAACCUUGGGUUCAUGAUCUUACAACUGAGAAGGGCCCCUCCACACUCCUGAACUGUACAACCAUUGAAACUCUUAAGGUAAAAUUAACUAGGAAAGUUUAUCUCCUUAAGAAGAUGGCAUCCUUGAUGUGAACAGCUUUUCCCAAGAUCCUGGAUCAAAACGUCUACUAUCACGAGACUCUUAUAUUUGAAUAUAUUUUCCGGUUUAUGCCUUUAGGAACAAUUGAAAUGAAAGGGGGAUCUAUUAUGUGCACUUAUAGGGUAUACUUUUAUUUGUGAAGGAUUUUGCAUCCAGCCUUAUAUGAAUAACCUUGUACUUUAAUAGAUAAAAGAUGAAGGCUCAAUGUAGGUGAGAAAAUGUAGUGGUACAUAUGUUGCCUCAUAAUCAGUCAAAACUCUUCUUAACCCACAUAAUGGAUUAAAGAGAAUAUUGCCAGGAGGCCUUCGCUUUUCUAAAAUGACAUCAUUUGUUAGGUCCUUUUUCCAUAGUUUAGUAUAAAAGAGGCAAUAAUUAGAAAUGUCACCCUCAUAAUAGGCUCUACAGCAAAUUCUACUUUAAAGGCUAUUGUUACACAACAGACUUUAAAUUAUCUUGUAAAAGUUAUGCUAAAUAAUAGAAUUGGCCAAACAGAAAAGUACCUGUGCAGUUGCUGACACCUGUGGCCUAUGGAGAAAUACAUCAAAUGUAGAUUAUACAAUUUCAGUUGUAGGGGAUUAAUGAAAAGACCACCUAGUCAAGCAAGUAGGCUCUUCAUAUAGCUCAUUCUUUAAUCUAUUUAAUUUUACAUGGUUUGGUUUAUGGGGACCCUGGGUAAGGAGCACACUCCAAAUUUGUUAUUAUUCUCCCAGUACUCAUAAUGAUAGUCUCCCUGAUGUGCUAUAUUCUCUUAAAGGUUUUAAAUGUUUGCAUGCAGCCAUCUCUAGAACAUCAAAUGGUCUCUAUUCAACCAGAAUGACAAAAGCUGAAAGAAAUGUGUGACCCUGAGGAUAUCGUAACCUACGAAUGAUGUGCUGAGACUGGAAACCCUAAAUGAUGUUACUGAGAAUGGCACUAAGGCCUUAAGUUUUGGUCACACUGUCACCUAAGUGAGAACCUGGCUGAAAAGGGAGAAUUUUUAAACAACAAAAUUAGAGGAAGCCACUAUUUUGGACUGAGCUCAUGCACUAGGCCCCAACAAACGAAACCAAGCUAAAAUGGAGUCACUCAUCCUAAAUGUGACAUAAUCAAACCAAGGCUUUAAGAACACAGAUAGAUGCUAGAACAGACUACAUUUUGUUUUUCUCCUGUAAACAGGAUGUCUAUCAUAAGGAGGUACCGUCUACUCAGUCCUUAUUCUCUCCUUGCAAAACCCACUUUUCUACUGUUUCCCAGUGGGUUUCAAACCAUAUAAUACAUUUAUGAUAGUGAUAUUAACAUCAAUGACUAAGGUUUUGGUCAAUCUCUCAAAAUUGAGAAAAUGACCAAAAGAGGGAAAUGAUUGCUAAAGCAAACUAAAUAUGGCCUGGGAAGAACUCCAUAGUCUUAUAUUUGAGUUCUUGCAGAUGAACUGUAACUUAGCUUAAUAGUCAGACAAAACUGAAAACCUAACUUAAUAGUAUGCGUCUGUAACAAUGGCUGAGUGUUCGCUAAUCCCAGCGGCCAUACUUCAACCACUCAUAGACUGCUGAAAGUUCAAAGUGCAUUCAAAUAAGGCAAAAACGGAGCUUAACCAGCCUCACUGUUUCUGUAUCUCACUUCCGAUUCCUGUAUGUCACUUUACCUUUUUUGUCUAUAAAUGUGUUCUGACCACGAGGCACCCCAGGUCUCUGUGAAUCUGUUGUAAUUCUGGAGGUGCCUGAUUCGCCAAUCAUUCAUUGCUCAAUUAAACUCCUUUAAAUUUAACUCAGCUGGACUUUUCCUUUUAUCAGGUUGAAUUUUACAUAUCUACUUUAGAUUUUAAUUUCUUCUAUAAAUUAAAAUCUAAUCUUCCAUAAUUUCUGAUAAAAUGUUUGUUAAAUGAACUCAAUGCAUUGGACAAAAAUUUCCUGUUGCUUUUCUUUCAAAGUACAUAAAUUGAUGCUACUUUUUCCACCUUUCUCACAUUUUCUCUGUCCCAAUCUUACACUGGAGGUUCAAUAGUCUUCUUCAUGCCUCAAGUUCUUUCUCUUGUAAUAUGAAAGGCAUGUGGCCACUUUCCUUUUCUAAUUCUUUCAUAAAUCUAAACAUUUUCACUACCUAUUGGUUACUAUGCUCACCAUCUGGGUGAAGGCAUCAUUUGUACACAAAAUCUAUAAAAUAUACUAUUUACUUAUGUAAAAAACCUAAACAUGUACCUGCUGAACCUAAAAUAAAAGUUGAAAAAGAAAAAUAAAUAAAUAAUACCUUCCCAGAAUAUUGCCUAUAGGAACAAGUCUAAAUUCCUUAAUACAGAGUAAAAUGGUAAUAAAAUUCUUGCCCUGAUUUUCUUUCUUAGGCCUAUGUCAUUUCAACACUCCCCAUCACCAUUCUUCCCCAAUCUCUUCCAUUUUUUGAGUCUAAAAUCCUUAAUACAUUGAAUUUUUGUUCAAUAUUUGUUAUAUGCCCAAAACUAUGCUAAGCUGCUGGACUCGUGCUCUUUCACAAUUCCUUUUCUGUUCCUUUCAGACUAGUGAAAUGAUACUGAUUUUUAAUGAUCUGUCUUUUCUUGGAAAUUUCCUAUUUCCAAAUGUCAAAAAAAGAACUUAUAAUUUUUGUCUCUCCAUUUCCAUAACACUUAUCAAUGUCACUGACAUAGCCCUAAUAAUUAUGAGAUGUACAUUGUUAGUUACACACAUUUCUUGUUUUCCUACUUUUGAUGUCUUUAAGGUCAGAGAUUGUAUUUUACUCGUUUGUAUUCCUAUCAGAAAAAAAACUGUGGCUUACAUGUAAUAUACAUUCAGUAAUUGUUUGAAUGAAAAAUGUAUUAAAAUAGUAUGAGUAUCCAAGUUGGUGAUUCAAUUUAGUUAAUCUCUUCUGAUACCCCUACCCCAAAAAGGCAUAUGUAAAAGUGCAUAAAAUUGUGUGUAUGAAUAUGUAGAUCAAUAGAUAGAAGCAUCUGUGAACACAAAUAAGAAAUUUAGGAAAUGAUUAUCUUAGAAACUCUUUAGCAUCAAAUCUUAUUUAUUUAUUUAUUUAUUUGCUAUAGCUUUUGGGGAAAAGUUGGAUUUUUGUUACAUGGAUAAGUUCUCUUGUAGUAAUUCCUGAGAUUUUGGUGCACACUGUACCCAAUCUGUAUUCUUUAUUCCUCACCCCUCUCCCCGCAUUCCCCUUGAGUCUCUGAAGUCCCUUAUAUCAUUCUUACGCCUUUGCAGCCUCAUAACUUAGCUCCCACUUAUAAGUGAGAUCAUACAAAAUUUGGUUUUCCAUUCCUGAGUUACUUCACUUAGAAUAACUGUUUCCAGCUCCAUCCAGGUUGCUGAAAAUGCCAUUAUUUCAUUCAUUUUUAUGGCUGAGUAGUAUUCCAUGGUGUAUAUAUGCCACCUUUUCUUUAUUUACUCUUUGGCCAGUGGACAUUUAGGCUGAUUUCAUAUUUUUGCAAUUGUGAAUUUUGCUACUAUACACAUGUAUGUGCAAGUGUAUUUUUCAUACAAUGACUUCUUUUCCUCUGGGUAGAGACCCAGUAGUGCGAUUGCUGGAUGAAAUGCUAGUUCUACUUCUAGUUAUUUAAGGAAUCUCCAUACUGUUUUCCAUAUGGGUGGUACUAGUUUACAUUCCCAACAGCAGUAUAAAAGUGUUCCCUUUUCACCAUAUUCACGCUAAUAUUUAUUAUUUUUUAUUUUUAAUUAUGGUCAUUCUUGGAUCUCAUUGUAUUUUCAAUUUGCAUUUCCCUGGUAAUUAGAGAUGUUGAGCAUAUUUUCAUGUUUGUUGGCCAUUUGGAUAACUUUUUCUGAGAAUUGUCUGUUCAUGUCCUUUGCCCACUUUUUAAGUUUAAUUUAAUACUAAUCCUACUAUUAUAUAUAUAUAUAUAAGAAUAGAUAAAUAUUAUUAUAUACAUAACAGUAGGAUAUAAAAGAAUAAAUAUAUUCUUAUAUAUGUAAUAGUAGAAUAUAUACAUAAUAGUAAUAUAUAUAUAUAUAUAUAUAUAUUCUUUUUUAGAGACAGAAUCUCACUUUGUUCCCAGACUGGAGUGCAGUGGCACAAUCAGCUCACUGGAGCCUUGAAUUCCUGGGCUCAAGCAAUCCUCCCACAUAAGCCUUCUGAGUAAUUGCAACUACAGACACUCACUACCUUGCCCAGCUAAUUUGGUAGAGACAGGGUCUUGCUGUACUGCCAAGGCUAGCCUUGAACUCUUGGCCUUGAGCGAUCCUCUCACCUCAGCCUCCUAAAAUGGUAAAAUUACUGGUGUUAGCCACCUCACCCAGCAUAUAAAAAUAUGAUAAUAUCAAAUGUAUAGAAGAGAUACCCACAGUUAUAAAAACCACCAUAAAAAUACAAUUAUAUAUAUAAACAAAACUUCUUGGUGAAAAAUAAAAUUUAAUCUUAAAUAUAACUAUUAUACUUGUAGUAAAUUAUUAUGUAAUCCAUAUUUUCUGUGGAGCAAGAUACAAACUGCUAAAAAGAAACAAUCG